rnacentral:rRNA from 1 species
ACGAACGUUAGCGGCGCGCCUAACACAUGCAAGUCGCACGAGAAAGGGCUUCGGCCCCGGUAAAGUGGCGCACGGGUGAGUAACACGUGGGUAAUCUGCCCUCGAGCGGGGGAUAACAUUCCGAAAGGAGUGCUAAUACCGCAUAAGACCACGAGCUCGAAAGAGCAUGCGGUCAAAGCUGGCCUCUAUUCAUAAGCUAGCACUUGAGGAUGAGCCCGCGGCGCAUCAGCUAGUUGGUGAGGUAAUGGCUCACCAAGGCUAAGACGCGUAGCUGGUCUGAGAGGAUGAUCAGCCACACUGGAACUGAGACACGGUCCAGACUCCUACGGGAGGCAGCAGUGGGGAAUCUUGCGCAAUGGGCGAAAGCCUGACGCAGCGACGCCGCGUGAGUGAUGAAGGCCUUCGGGUUGUAAAGCUCUGUGGGGAGAGACGAAUAGGUGGAGCC